GUCAUGAAGCAUUAUAGUAAAUAUGUAAGUGAUCGUAUCUAUUUACUCCUCAUUUAAAUUUAACUCUUGCCCUUCUCUGGCACUGGUUUUCUUCUAGGAAAGCAGACCAAAGCUAUCCAAAUAGCGUUACUUAGAGAAGUAGUAGGAAGUGUUAGGAUAGCUGGUGUUACUCCUUAUCAUCCACAGGUGGAGGCUGGUCACAGCUGGUACGUGGCAAGCUCCUGCUGCCGUUGCUGGUACGAAAUGGGGGGGUACCGUGCGUCCCGUGUUCUGUGCCCUGUGGCUAUUGCUGCGGCACGACGAAAUACGGCAGAAACAGCUCAGGUUGGUACCUUUCCCCUUGCUUUGGCUUUGGUCUCCCUCUGCUGGGCGUUUUAAAAACUUUUCCAUUUUAAUUCCGUUGCAUAGUAAUUAUAAACGCAGUACUUACAACGCGUUUGCUUUGUAAAUUUAUAAAACGUUUUUAGCCUUCAGGAGGAGAUCACACUGUACUCCUUGUGGAGAUGCCACGAACCGGUUCGGCGCUCCCCCGCGUGCUCCACGUCCCGUUGCUGCGAGGCGCAGCCUGGCUUAGCGCCGUGCUGCGGAGGAAGGGGCUGCGCGAGGGGAGCCCGGACCGCGCGGGACUGUCCGCGCCCCCGCGACGGCUUUCCGCGGCCCGGCCGCCCUGCCAGGAGCUCGGAGGCCCCGGGCCGCCUCGGCCCCGCCCGCCUGUGACGCCGCUCCCGGCGCGAGCCAAUCCCCCGGGCCCGGCACAUUCAAACGGCGUGGGAGGAGGGCGCGAGCCGCGGCCGGGGCGCGUGGAGCCGAGGCGGCGGGUUCCGUGAGAAGAAGCAGCCAAAUAUAAUCUUUCAGGAAGCAGAUGUAUUUUCUAUAAUCCUGAUGUUAACUUGUUUGAAGACAAAAUGCCUAUUUACACGGUUUCUGUAACAGGGUCCUUCGAGGUACAAUGUACUACGCCUUUGCAGAAGAUUACUUCACAAAACGCCUUAACCAGCAGCAAAAUGUUGGGGCAGAAUCUGGCAUCGCAGGUGUCAGGAAAAGACCAGGACAGUCUUCUGUCAUGUUCCCAGAAAAAGACUGAGGAAGUAAAUAGGACCUAUGUGAUUUCGGCCUGUAAAAAUGUGGAUGACACGUCACUUGGAGUGAAACCUCCAGACAGGUUAACGCUCCAGAGGAGAACUAGAACAAGCAAAAAUUUGGCAUCAAGUAGUGAACAAUCUGAUAAAAAUCCAUCACAGAGCACAGAAAAUACACAAAUGGAGAAAAGGCUUACCCUGCAGAGGCGUGUGAAGAGUGGCUCUGUAGAAAUGAGUAAAAUUAAUGGGAGUACUGUGCCUGGAGCAGAAAAUAGUGCCUCUGAUGCAGGAAGAAAAUAUGAGAUUGCACUUCAACCCAGUAUUAGUAAUAAUGAUAAGCAUUAUAUUAAACCAAGCUGUAAGUUGACUGAGGGUCAGCUAGUUACGAAGUUGCAUUGUAAGUCCAAUUACAAGGAUUUGUUUGGCAGUGUUGAAAAAGAUGGCUCCAUGCACUUGAAAUGUAGGACAAGUGCUGCUGAUGCAAAAUUUCGAAAAGAAGUUCCUAUAUCAGAACAGCUAGCUACCUCAAAAUCUGUUACUAGGAUAUCAAGAGAGCAGCUGAACGAAAAUGAUGAUGUAAAAAAAAUGGCUGGAAAGCAAAGGUUACAAUGGUUAAAGCAUAACAGCUUGGAAAGACCGAGGACACCAACAAAAGCUUCGACAGAAGGAUUUAAGCUUACACCAAAGAACAGCACUUUUCAGGAUAAGUCAUGUUUAUCUGCUUCAAGUAAACAAACAGUUAAUCUUCCAGCUGUGUCAAAAAAGAAAACCAGCUCUCCUGUGGGUAGAAGCGCAAAAGCAGAAGAGAAUGCUGAAACUCUAGCUGAGAGCAACAGCACUGAGAAAGAUAUUUUUAAAGUAGAAAACAGCAAAGUCAUUGUAGCUGCGCGUGUGCGGCCUUUCAGUAAUAGAGAGAAAAAUGAAAACUUGCUCCCUGUAGUCUCCAUGAGCGGAUCAGAGACAUCUGUACGAAAUCCAAGCACAAACCAACUUUACAACUUCAGUUAUGACUUCUCUUUUUGGUCUUUUGACAAGGGUCAUCCUAAUUUUGCAAGCCAAGAAAUGAUUUAUAAAACUUUGGCGUUGCCGCUGCUAGAAAGGGCUUUUGAGGGAUACAACACUUGUCUUUUUGCUUAUGGGCAAACUGGUUCUGGAAAAUCAUACACGAUGAUGGGCUUUGAUGAAGACCGAGGAAUAAUUCCAAGACUUUGUGAAGAUCUUUUCACUAGAAUAGCACAGACGGACAAGCAACAGGUCUUGUAUCAUCUUGAAAUGAGCUAUUUUGAAGUUUACAAUGAGAAAAUUCAUGAUCUCCUUGUCUUUAAAGCUGAAAACAGACAGAAGAAACAGCCACUUCGUGUAAGAGAGCAUCCAGUGUUAGGACCAUAUGUGGAAGACCUAACUGUGAACGUUGUUAGUUCUUACUCAGAUAUACAGAGUUGGCUUGAACUAGGAAAUAAGCAGAGAGCAACAGCUGCUACAGUAAUGAAUGACAAAAGUUCUAGAUCUCAUUCUGUCUUCACUCUUGUCAUGACACAAACCAAGGUAAAAUUUGUGGAUGAAGAGCAGCGUGACCACAGGCUUACCAGUCAUAUAAAUCUAAUUGAUUUAGCUGGCAGUGAGUGCUGCUCUACAGCUCAGACCACUGGAGAAAGGCUAAAGGAGGGUGUGAGUAUUAAUAAAUCACUAUUAACCCUUGGUAAAGUUAUUUCUGCGCUCUCCAAGCUGUCUCGAAAUGGAAAGAAAACUUUCAUUCCUUACCGGGAAUCUGUCCUUACUUGGUUGUUAAAAGAAAGUCUUGGUGGAAAUUCGCAAACUGCUAUGAUUGCCACAAUAAGUCCAGCUGCCAGCAGUACAGAAGAAACGCUUAGCACUCUUCGCUAUGCAAAACAAGCUUGUUCAAUUAUCAACAUUGCCAAAGUAAAUGAAGAUGUGAAUGCCAAAUUAAUCAGAGAACUGAAAGCUGAAAUUGAAAAACUGAAGGCGGCUCAGAAGAGUGCUCAGAACAGGGAUCCUGAAAAAUACAAGCAUUAUUUGCAAGAAAUAACAUCUCUGAGGAUAAAAUUGCACCAGCAGGAAAGGGACAUGACAGAAAUGCAAAGGGCUUGGAAAGAGAAACUUGAACAAGCAGAAAAAAGAAAAUUAGAAGACAUAAAAGAAUUGCAGAAAGCAGGAAUUGCAUUUAAAAUGGACAAUCAUUUACCAAACCUUGUCAAUCUGAAUGAAGAUCCCCAGCUUUCUGAGGUGCUGUUGUAUAUGAUUAAAGAAGGAGAAACUACAGUUGGAAGGUAUACACCAGAUUCAAGACAUGAUAUCCAGCUUUCCGGAGUGCUAAUUGCUGAUGACCAUUGUGUUAUAACAAAUACUACUGGCAAAGUGAGUAUUAUUCCACUGAGAGAAGCUAAGACAUAUGUAAAUGGAAAAUGCAUCGUAGAUCCAACAGUUCUGCAUCAUGGUGAUAGAGUGAUCCUUGGUGGAGAUCAUUACUUCAGGUUUAAUCAUCCGGUGGAGGUUCAGAAGGUGAAAGGGCUGUCUUGUGGAACUACGCCUUUGCACGAUGGUCCUAAGGACUUUGAAUUCGCAAAGAAUGAGCUGCUUGUUGCACAGAGAGCACAGCUUGAAUCAGAAAUUGAAGAGGCACGACUUAAAGCCAAGGAAGAAAUGAUGCAAAGUGUCCAAAUCGCAAAAGAGAUGGUUCAGCAUGAACUGACAUCACAAAAAGAAGCUUAUGAAAGCAAAAUAAAGUCACUGGAAGCAGAGGUGAGAGAAGAAUCUCGUAAGAAGCAAGUACAAGAAAUAAACAAUCAAAAGGCUGCAAGUAAAAUACAGGAGUUAGAGAAGGCAAAGCAAAGUCUUGAGCUAGAACUACACUUCAACAAGAAGCGCUUGGAAAUGGAGACCUUAGCUACUAAACAGGCCCUGGAAGAUCAUACUAUUCAUCACGCAAAAAUACUUCAGGCUCUAGAAGAUGAGAAACAGAAGAUUGCUGAAGAAAUACAAACCCUUCAGAAGAAUCGUGCGAGUGGGAAUAAAACUGUGACUACUCCUCUUAACUGGAAUUCUUUGAAGUUAUCUGUGAUGAUCAAAGAGGCCAACACCAUUAGUAAUGAAUUAAGGAAAAAUACUAUUUUUAACAGGCAUGACACAAUCGAUGAUAAAACAGGAACAGUGUCUUCUGUUCAAGUGCAGGUUCGUAACAUCAAACUGGGCAUAGCAACUUUCUGGAGCCUGGAGAAAUUUGAAUGCAAACUAGCAGCAAUGAAAGAACUUUAUGAGAGUAAUGAUAGCAAUAAAGCUGCUGAUGUAUUUUAUGACCCUGCUGAUGAGUGGGAACCUGACCUUUCAGACGCCUCAGUUUCCUCUCUUUCCAGAAGAAGAAGUAGAAGUUUCAUGAAGAACAAGAGAAUUUCUGGGUGUUUAUCUGGUAUAAAAUUGCAGCCAAUCCAGAAUACGCAAGCAUCCUACAUAUCAGGUUCACAGAACAAAUCCAGCAUAUGCCCAAACUUUUUUGAAUCACUUUUUCCUGGAAUUUGCAAAGAAUCUAUAAGUUCAGCUUUAGCUUUACUGGAACAGAAUCAUGAAGCAGGAAAGAGCAUUGCAGAUCAUCUUCUGAUUAAUUUGUUUACAAUCUCUUCUGGAGUUUCUGCCAUUUCUAAAGCCUAUGAGCAGCAAGAUGAAGAAUGUCAAAAAAGUUUUAGCUCUGUUGAUCGUGAUGCUCAGUCCUACAGCAUCAAAAUUACCUCUGCUUUUGACCAGCUUGUGGUACUAAUCAAGACUUGGAUUAACAGUGUGGAGAAGUGCACUGGAUCUAUAAAGAUCGAUGAAGAAAUUAAACAGCAAGUAAAGAACUUGGGAGGUUUUUUACAGUUACUGUUGCAGGGAUGUUCUUCAGAUAUAUCGUCAAUGGUAACAGAAGCACAGAGCAAAGUCAACGAAGCAGUAAAACAGACAACAAAAUGCAUAGGACACUUGGCAGUAUUCACGAGAACUGAUAUUUCCUUUUUUGAAGAGAACGGUAUUCCUACAAGCAGUCUACAGGUGAAAGACUUUGUACAUGCUGUUUAUGAUGGAGUAGGUUUGGGGCUGGAGUUCAUUACAGAUACCGUACAGGAAAAAGCACGAGUAGUGCAGAACGAACUACUGAAACAAUAUCCGCAAAAUGAGAUUCAAAGUCAAAUAAAGGACAAUGCCAUAGCACUAGCCAGAUUUCUGGAAAAUAAUGUCUCUUGUUGCAGAAAGAGAGAAAUAGAAUCUCAGUUACCGGAAGAAGAAUGUCUAUAUCAGGAAAUAAAGAGAAGCACUAACAUAGCUGCAAAAUAUUUGGAACUGGAGCGGUGUCUAUCUGAAGUCUAUCAGAUUGUUUCUUCUACCUUACAAGGGUCGUUCAGAAACACGAGCCUGCUCAGGACCUUUGCGGGAGAGAUUUCUAUCAUAGCUGGAUAUUUUAACAAUUAUUUCAGUUUACUUGCAUUGUCUUCUGCUUCUGCAAGCAAUCCUUUCCAGAGAACAUCCAUACCAUUUAUGAACUUAGAUGAAUUGGACUCUCUCGUUGAUUCACUUAUUUUGAGUUUUGAACUCGAACAAGGACAGCAAAAACCAGUAUCUCAGAUUCCUUGUAAUGAAACUGCUGAGACUGAAGGAGGACGGGUUGAAACAGAUGAAGAUAAUCACGCUGGGAGAAGUGUAUCUUCAGGAUAUGAAUACUGGAUUACUUGAGAAGCCUUCAAAUAACCUCAUCUUUUGAGACUUAAUGUAUGGAAAGGAGCUUUUACAAAAAGGAGCACUCUAGUUAUGCCUCUUAAAGAACAAGUACCAGUGUUAGAAAUUAAGGAUAUGUAAACUCUAAUUGACUGACUCAUAAGAAUACUGUAGGAGAAGAAAACCAGCAAGGUGCCAUUUAAUUUGAUCCAGUAAUGUCACCUGGAAGAAAAAAGGAGUCUACGUCUGCUUCAGUUCUGCAAAUAUAAGCUGCUCUUUUUGGACAGGAAAUUUCCUUGCAUUCAUUAUAUGCUGUAAAAUACUGUGAUUAGAUGAGUCUGGUUGCUUGCAGAAAUCUACGCAACUCUUCUAAUCUCAUUUUCUAAUCUCAUCAUGGUAAGGUUGUUUGUUUUUGUUUGUUUUAGAAGGCUAUUUGAAUUCCCUUCCUGGCUUUCAUGGGAACUGAGACUGAUGCGUUUUAGAAAGGAAGGGCUGUUCGCUUUCUUUGAAGUCCUAAUCUUUCACUUUUACAUAAAGUUACAAGUUGUAUUCGUCUUUAUUUUUUCAUCUGCUAUUUUUAGGACUUGUUACGUAGAUGUAACAAAACUUGGUUAUUUAUUUUUUCCUGCCUUCUAUUUUUUGUUUUCAUUCUUGUUGUUUUGUCGUGUCUGUUUUUGUAGUAGUGUUAGUUUCUAGAACAGGAAAUGAUACAUGUUCUAAUCCACGUUUGUAUAAUUUGACUGUUGCAGUGAAAACAAAACUGAAAAAGAGUUCUCGUGAGCUGACAUUUCAUCAACAGCAAGCAGCAUAAACUGCCUAAAAAACUAAUCCUGCAGUUCUCUUUACAGAGUACUGAUACAAUUGGGUCGUGAUAGCUGCAGCUUGACCUCUCUAACUUCUGAUGCUACUGAGCUGUUGUAACGCUACCUCCUGUUCUCCUGCUGUGGCUCAAAUUACAUGGGAAUCUACAGUGCUUCUCAUCUAGCAGAUCCCAAAGUGCUUUGCAAAGAAGCACCACCUAGGAGAAGGGUGAAUUGUACCAGUUUUGAAGGGAGGCCAAGGAAGGGGGGAGAACAAACCUGACCUAACAAAUUCCUUAAAUCUACAGCAUGGUGAAGACGACAGAAGAGACGGAUUCAAGAAAAGCAGGAAUUAAAAUGCAUUUAAUGACUGGAAAAUUAGUGAACAAGCAAGCAAAUUACACGACUGCCUACUCGAUUGUUCUGGUGAAUAAGUAUCAUUGCAACAAGUACUGAACAAAUUAGACUACUCCUUCAAAACCUGCAGAAUUUGCAAAUCCAAAUGAGCUGUGGAUAGAUGCUAAUAGUGAGCAGCAAUGUCCUGCCAGUCCUUCGUUCAGGAUACAACUCAAAUUCAUCUUACCUGGAGUGUCAAAGGAAAGUAAGCUUAUUAAAACACACUUAUGAUACAACAGAUAUUCUCUUACGAACCAAACCAUACUUGUUUCAGUGCAACUUCGUAUCUAGUGUAUAUUUUGUCAUAUUUUAUGUGUAAUUCUAUUUGUUCAUAAAAUGAAAACUCUAUUUGAAGAUACAUUUAAAAAUGAUAGGGUAUAAACUGUUUUAUACUGUAGGUUGCCUUGAAGAUACAGUCCUAUCUGUCAGCUGUUGACUUCAAGUUCACUGUGAUGACCACCCGUAGCACAGCUUAUUGAAGGCAGAAAGGAAAAUUUAACACAAAAUUCAAAUCAGUGAAAUAUAGAACACAAUUAGGAAGAAAGGGUUCUGUGAUCGCCAGCCAACAAAUGGAGUCUGUCACAAAAUAUUUGCAGCUCCUGCAAGUGAAGAAGGGAUUCUUGCUGGGGAUACCAGAGUGAUACUCUGCCUGCACAUCUUCACUUCAUCUACACUACUGGAAGUGCCUUUCUAACAUGACUGAUCUAAGGAAGAGUCAUCUGGUUCUACAUACAACGGAGUUGUAUGAAACAAAUGAAAGAAUGAAGGCUUAAUGGGUUAACAAGGGUUAUUAAGUAAUUCAACAUAACUGAAGACUGAGAUGUUGAAAAAGUGCUGAGAUUGGAAAUAAUAAAGCAUUGGUAUAACGUUCUCCACUACACCACAAAAUGAUUUUAACUCUGUAUAGUGCUGAAUGAAACAUGCUGCCUACAAAAGGAAGCUUUUAGAAGUAUCAGAUAGUCAAGAGAGAAAUCGUAAAACUGAGGAAAAAAGCUUCUGAUUAAAGCAAACAACAACAAAACAACAAAAACCAGCCUUGAAGAUCUCUGUUGCCCUGAAGCAGAAUAAGCUCCUGCUAAUAGCAGUAGCUUGCAGUAGAACCACCCAAACUGGAACAGAUCCUGACAAAUAUACUGAAGAUGAGCACUGUCCGCAGACUGACGUACUCAAGAUAGCAGGACAAUUCUGUUAGGGCUUGCCACAUUUAAGAGCUGAGCAGUCCACUUCUGCCCUGCACAGAGCUGCAAAAGAACUGCAAUUAAGCAGGCAGAGAUCCCAUUCUUCAGUCUCCACAAAGCAGACUUCAAGCCCAGCUGAAGUGUAAAUACAGGUUUGGGAUGAUACUGUGAAAGCAGUUAGAAUGGUAAUCCAGGAAAACACUACACGUGAAUGAUCUCUCUCAUUGCUCCCUACCUAAUGAAACAGUGAUUUUGCUUGUGGACAAUUCCAGAAUUACUGUAGUACCUGCCAGCAGACUGCAGGAACCAGGAACAUGUUGCGUGGUUUGUGUAGGUCCUGGACACAGAGGUUUCAACAAGGCAAAAACUCAUCAAAGGUCUCUUCAUCUUCCUGAUAUAUGGGGUGUACAACACAGAGCUUUGUGUGUAAUUGUGAGAGUAAGCAGUAUUGGAAGUCUCAGAGCAAUGGUGAAGCGUUGAAGAACAGAAGAUGGCAGUUUGAAUCACAGCAGUGAGGUGGGCAAGAGAAAAAUCAUCGAAAUCCUGAAAAGUGAUGAGAUACAGCAAGAAUGCCCAAAGGAGUCAAACGUAUGGAUGUGGCAAAUAGCUAUGUGGCGGAGCACCAGGAACUGUAAAAAUGAAACAGAGGAAGGAGAAUCUGGGGAACUACAGACUGGUUGGCUUCACCUUCGCGCCUCUGAAAGCUACGGAGCAAAUCAUCCCAAGGCUGCUUCCAGCAUCAGGGAGAGCAAGCUGCUGAUUGGGAGCAACCACCAUUGAAGUCACCAAAGGCAAAUUGUGCCUGACCAUCCAGGUGAAUCGUAGUCAACAGUUAACGGAAAGCCUGUGUGGUAUGCUUAUUGCCCAGCCUGCCCAGCUGAACUGGCAGGGUUCAAGCAUUGUGCCCGCCACAGAUGAGCCAUUUGGAGCCAGACUGUCAAUCCAAAUGCAAGCUGCUCCGUUUCCUGUUUAUGCCUGCGCGGAGUUACACAUCCUGACACGCUUGCCUUCAGCUGCAGGUUUUUCCGCACUCCCUAGGAGAUUUCUUCCUUAAAACGGCUUGUUAUUUAUCAUUUAAGUAGCAAGAAGCUUCUGUUGAUUACCGGCAUGCCUGGCUUAAAAGCUAAAGUAAAUACAACAUCACGAAAAAACUCUGCAGUACCCAAGUUAACUUUAGAAUGGCUAAGCAACAAUUCCCUUGAUGACUGUGUUCACAUUGUGAGAAGCAUCAACACACAUGUUUUGUCUAUCAGGCCAAAAGAAUAUCCCAUUUAGGGCUUUUCCCCACAGUAAUCAAGGCUGAAGACAGCAAAACAGCAUUCCCUUUGGAGGAUGCAGCAACAAAAUGAACUCAGCAUUUGUUAACAGCUAAGCCGUGGUACCAGUUCCUUUUUGCAUUAUAUUCCAGUGUGUCUUCAGUUUCUUAGAGUUCUUCAGGUCUUGGAGUUUUAAGACACUGAAGUUCUAAGCAAAAAUGUACAAGACUGCAGAUUACUUUAAGGAAAAAGCAUUGCUUUGUGUAAAGCACCCUGGGUUCUGACUUGUUGCUAGUCAUAGCUGGCCUACUGACCCUGGUUCACACUAGUUGGGUAAACCUGCAUAUCUCUGCCAACGUGUGCUUGCAGCAUGAAAUGUCUCAGGCUCUAAUUAAAUGAAGAAUGCAUGUAAAUAGACUUUCCAGAUGGUUUUUUAAUGUAACUAAUACAAAUCUGAGCCUAAUGCCUUCUUUUAUUUAGGAGGUGAAAUAAGUGUUGUGAAAUAUUUGUAACUUUGAAAAUUUCAAAACAUGGGAUUUGUUUUCCUCUUAUGAUUGUCACAUUUUAAUUUUUUUUUGUUGUUUUAUUUAUAGCAAAGCAAAAUUUGUGUGCAAGAAACAUAUCAGCUGCCUUUUCCUGGAAAAAAACGGGCUGGCAUAAAAGCAAGAAGCUUGUGGAUUUGACAAGAUGUUUAAAAAAAAGAUUGUCAUUAAUUUCAAAAGAUUCCUUUUUCAUUUCCGUUACGCCUGUAGUUGAGAAACGCGAUUAGAAUCAGCAUCACAGAUAAUAGAAUGGCUUGGGUUGGAAGGGACCUUAAAGAUCAUCUAGUUCCAACCCCCCUGCCAUGGGCAGGGUUGCCAACAUCAGGCUGCCCAGGAUCCCAUCCAGCCUGCCUCCAGGAGUGGGGCAUCCAGCCUCUGAGUAAAAAAAUUCCUCCUAAUAUCUAAUAGAAGUCUUCCUUCUUUCAGUUUAAAACCAUUCCCCUUUCUCCUAUCGCUAUCAGCCCGUGUGAAAAAGUCAAUUUCCCUCCUGCUCCCUUCAAGUACUGGAAGGCUGCAAUGAGGUCUCCCCAGAGCCUUCUCCUCUCUAGGAUAAAGAAGCCCAACUCCUCCAACCUUUCUUCGUAGGAGAGGUGCUCCAGCCUUCUGAGCAUCUUUGUGGCCCUCAUCUGGACCCACCUGAACAGCUUCAAUUGUAGUCUCACUAUUCUGUGCCUAGGGAUGGCUUGCUGGAGACCACCACAGAUUUUGCUUUAUUAAAAAAAUAAAAUGUCGUGGGCCUAUUUUUACUCCAGACCCAGUUUUUCAGGGCUUUUUGUAGAAUUUUCAUUGUUUUGGUGAUUAGAUAAAGGCUAAUUUUGUCAGUUUGCUUUGUCUUUGUUUAGUUUCAUUUUAUAUCUGAAUUCUUAACCUUUCCAUACUUUCAGUGUAUUUUUAAAUUAUUGCAAAAAUUCCCCUUCCUUCUCCUGUGGCUAGCAGGAAGCCAGCAGGAUACCAAUACGGCUUACUCACGGAAAUUACAAAUAAAACAAUAGAUGACUUGCACAUAAUGACUGUUUUUGUCCCUCUGCCGCUCCUGAAAGCAUCUCAGAAAAAUGCCUGAAUCACUCCCCAGGAGAGAGGACCUCAGAUUUACAUGCUGACUACUUGUGACACCAGUGUGCUGUAUCCCCACAUAGGCAGUGCUCAGGCUGUGCCACCUUUGCCUGCAGCAUCUCAGCCAGCGCCUCUGUUGCGUGCUUGUGGUUGUUGCUCCUUCUUGAACAAAACAGUGCUGAGACAUGGUUGAAGCUGUUCAGCCAGACUUCCUGAGGGCUCUGGAACACCAGCAUACUCUACAAGCUGCUGAAUAUUCAGUGAACCCUUUUGCCGACUUUCCUGGGAAAAUGAUCACAAAAGAGCUUUAGCGGAGCAUCUUGUUGAAAUUCUGCAUAUACCUCAAAUCAAUUAGACACCAAUGGAGUCUGAGCAAGGAAGUUUAAGCUAUGGAAAUGGGAGUCAGAGAUAAAUCACAGAAUCACAGAAUCGUAGGGGCUGGAAGGGACCUUCCGAGAUCAUUGAGUCCAACCCCCCUGCCAAAGGAGACUCCCUACAGCAAGCUGCACAGAAAGGGAGGAAGAAUGACAGGUAGAAAUGAGCUGGUCAGCGGGAGCACAGUGGGCAGUUCAGAGGACACCGGUCCCACUUGGCAAUGUUCCUCUCUGAAAUAAUACUUCAGUGUGCGGUACUGUUUUCCAGCACUUCUUUAGGGAAUUGUCUAAGCUGGUAUAAGCAACAGAGGGAUAAGAGAAGGACAGGUGAAUGGGCCACAUGUCUGCAGUGAGUCUCCAAUGAAUGGCUGAUGGUAGCAAACAGCCUUUCAGGGCCCAGCAGUGAGUGAACUGACAGCAAGAGAAACCACUGAGGAUGGACGGACAGUCAUUGAAGUAUGAAGAUACAUUGGUGUCAAAGGAGAAUUUUUUACGUACAGAGAGCAAGGCAAGUUGGUCAUCUAGACAAGUAGAUCCUCUGAAGCCAAUGAAUUCACCUGUAUCAGGACAGUAGAAGACUUCGCUGCGAGUGAUUUCUGUAUCAAAUUAUUCCUCCUCGCUGGACUGUGCAAGGAAAUGAAAUCGGGAGAGAAAGGGAACAGAUCAGCAUGCAGCCUGUGUGGAAGCACCUGUGUGCAGCGCAGCCUUUUCUCUCCCACAGCCUUCGCAAAGACCUGCUCCACAACUACAGCAAGUACCUCUGCUGGGAAAUGCUUCAUUCCCUCCACUGCAUUUUCUGUGAUGACAGCAUUUUCUGUUUGUUUUCCUUUGUUAAUUUUUUUGUUUGUUUUAUUAUGUUCAUUUUGCUAUUCCAAAAAAUAUAUAUAUAUUUCUAAAUAUUGCCAAAAUAACAUUUUAAGGUUGCAAAAAUUAAUCACUGCAGAAUUAUUUAAUGCUUGUGUUAAGAUUGUCUGUCCUAUUUUUUUUUCUAUCUGCAACUGUGUUAUAGUAGAGAUAUUAAUGCAUAGGCACAAGAAAAGGCUGAAUUAGUAUGGGAUAAAACACUCUCUAGUUUGAUAUUUCAAAAGUUAUGCUUUGAGGUUUUAAGCAUAAUCUCUUAACAUAAUUGCUCUUCUGCCUACAGUCACAGUUAAUACAUGUAAGCUCAGAUAACACUUAUAAGCCACGUAUCCAUGGGCAGCAUAGAUGGAGGACAGAAAGAGGUGUGGACUCUGUAGAUGGAUAUAUUACUGAGUCAGAGUAAAGCUUGUGCUAUCACGAACUCAGCCUUGCUCUAUCUGUAUGCUGCCUGUGCCUGUGAUAAUUCAUUUCUGUUCAGACUGCGGAACAAGGCUGGUUCUGUAUUAAAAGGUUUCUAUUCCCCUGCCCGCAACAUGUGUUUGACUACAAAGCCAUUUCAACCAAGUGACUUGUUAGCUGAAGAGUGGUCUCCUGAAUUAUCCCAGUGAAACACUCCCCACCAAAACACGUGUCAGAUUUAAAGUAAGGCAUUUUUGGAAGGAAUUGUUUAAAAUUUUCAGAUUCCAGUACUCUUGGUUUUAAUGUGAAAUUGUUUUAUGAUCAUUCUCUCUUGUGUACAACAAAGUGUUACAAAAAUCAAAUAAAUAAUGCCAACAUGA